AUUGAACGCUGGCGGCAGGCCUAACACAUGCAAGUCGAGCGGAAACGAAGAGUAGCUUGCUACUCUGGCGUCGAGCGGCGGACGGGUGAGUAAUGCUUGGGAACAUGCCUUGAGGUGGGGGACAACAGUUGGAAACGACUGCUAAUACCGCAUAAUGUCUACGGACCAAAGGGGGCUUCGGCUCUCGCCUUUAGAUUGGCCCAAGUGGGAUUAGCUAGUUGGUGAGGUAAUGGCUCACCAAGGCGACGAUCCCUAGCUGGUUUGAGAGGAUGAUCAGCCACACUGGGACUGAGACACGGCCCAGACUCCUACGGGAGGCAGCGGUGGGGAAUAUUGCACAAUGGGCGCAAGCCUGAUGCAGCCAUGCCGCGUGUGUGAAGAAGGCCUUCGGGUUGUAAAGCACUUUCAGUCAGGAGGAAAGGUUAGUAGUUAAUACCUGCUAGCUGUGACGUUACUGACAGAAGAAGCACCGGCUAACUCCGUGCCAGCAGCCGCGGUAAUACGGAGGGUGCGAGCGUUAAUCGGAAUUACUGGGCGUAAAGCGUACGCAGGCGGUUUGUUAAGCGAGAUGUGAAAGCCCCGGGCUCAACCUGGGAACUGCAUUUCGAACUGGCAAACUAGAGUGUGAUAGAGGGUGGUAGAAUUUCAGGUGUAGCGGUGAAAUGCGUAGAGAUCUGAAGGAAUACCGAUGGCGAAGGCAGCCACCUGGGUCAACACUGACGCUCAUGUACGAAAGCGUGGGGAGCAAACAGG
rnacentral:rRNA from 1 species